CAGCCGCCGCGGUAAUACGAAGGGUGCAAGCGUUACUCGGAAUUACUGGGCGUAAAGCGUGCGUAGGUGGUGGUUUAAGUCCGUUGUGAAAGCCCUGGGCUCAACCUGGGAAUUGCAGUGGAUACUGGGUCACUAGAGUGUGGUAGAGGAUAGUGGAAUUUCCGGUGUAGCAGUGAAAUGCGUAGAGAUCUGGAGGAAUACCGAUGGCGAAGGCAGCCAUCUGGCCUAAUACUGACGCUGAGGUACGAAAGCAUGGGGAGCAAACAGGAUUAGAUACCCGAGUAGUCCCUGUCUCUUAUAC
rnacentral:rRNA from 1 species